rnacentral:rRNA from 1 species
UACGUAGGGGGCAAGCGUUGUCCGGAAUCACUGGGCGUAAAGCGCGCGCAGGCGGCUGUCUACGUCCGGGGUGAGAGCCCAGAGCUCAACUCUGGGAUUGCCUUGGAUACGGGAUGGCUUGAGGAUCGGAGAGGCAAGGGGAAUUCCACGUGUAGCGGUGAAAUGCGUAGAGAUGUGGAGGAACACCUGUGGCGAAGGCGCCUUGCUGGCCGAUUUCUGACGCUGAGGCGCGAAAGCGUGGGGAGCAAACAGGA